GGAACUAAAUCCAACAGAAAACAUAAUAAAUUGAUUUGGUGGGAAAUAUUAAGAUCUUUUUGUAGAAAAUAAAAUAGAUCUUGGCACUGAUUAGUAAAUUACACAAUAAUUAGAAUCUACAUCUAGAUCUAGAUCUAGAAGGGGUAAAACUCCAUGUUAUUGUUAACGUAUUUUAUUCCCCGCUUCACGUUCACCUCCAGUUCUCUCAACUCAUGGAGACAGGAAUAAGACAGACACAGGGACAAAGAUACCAACAAUGUUUUAAACUUGAACACUACAAUCAACUGAUUUACAACCCUCUGUAUUCAAGUGGCUAGAGUACUACCAUGUGUUUUGUGCUUAUGGGUUUAUGAUUACAGUAAAAAAUAAAACCAAGUGCUGUGAUAGGUUAAAACAAACGAGGUCCAUGGGACAGAUGUAGAGAUCAUGAGUUUCUCUGACCUUGGCAUAGGAAGGGAUAGUGUAGUCAAGUUCAAUACAAUGCUCAGCCACCUUUAUUUUCCCAACCAGUUACUAGAGCAUUUUAUUAGAACUUGAGACUAUCAGCGAACCUGGAUUAAUAAAACAGUGAAAUCUUGCUGGAAGGUGCUAUCAUAGUAUAACUGGAUUUAACAGCCUGAGGCUUAAUGCAUCCCUUCAAGAUGGAUGUUAGAACAUCACAGUUGGUUAUUUUUUCAGGCCACCUGAUGUUCAGUUUGCUACACAGCCAUUCAUUAUUGAAAGUCUCAGAACCAUAGAGGAGAACAAAUUUUACAUUGCUGUUCAACAGUCAUAUUUGGAAAACUGUAGACAGCUCUUGACAUCCAUAUUGUGUGGAGGAUGUUGGAUACUUUGCUGAUAUGGCUUUUGAUGUCCUCAUCUGCUCCCCCAUUUUCUUACAACAGAUUCUAGAUGUGUGAAGCGAUCCUGCUCCAAAAUAGUCAUUUCUUGUAUCCUAAGUGGAACUCCUGUUUGUUGUUGAUUCUUAUCUCUUCUGUUUUUUUCAGUUGGUCAUUAAGCCUAUAUUAAGAAGGUUCAUCAUAGUUUGCUUAGCGUGGAUUGGGCAUGUUGUCAAUGUGAGAGUAUAGCAUCCUCAAUAUCUAGACCUCCAGCUAAGUGAGGGUCCACUGAAUUCCACCCUUUUGGUCUGAUGUACUUUAUUGGUGAAAAGCUUAUAACAUUUCUGUGCUCACUGAAAAAGGGUUGGUUAACAUGUGGAUAAUCUGGCAGUUGGAGUCUUUGUAGAGGUGUUGGAUACUAUUGCUGAAUUUCUUAGCGAUUGAAUGUGCAAAUUCAAUUUUUUCAAUAGGUUGGCUUUCAUGUAGAGAUAUUCUGCUAUGCAGUAUUUGUUUAUAGAUGUGUAUCUAUCUAUAUAUAUAUAUGCAUAUAUUUAUGUUUGUGUAUGAAACUAAGGUCUAGUUACACACAGUCAUAUAAAAUUAAAAACUUGUUAGAUUAAGAUGUGGAUUAGAGAUUGUCUGUAGCCAUCAAAGUUUUAUUUAUUCUGGAGGUUGUAUGUAUUGAUUCCAUUUUGUCUAGUUAUUGAGCAUACUGAAAUCUGCUAAUAUUGAUUUAUCUACCUACUUACUUGUCCACUUGUAACCUAUAUGAUCUAUUACUUAAUUGUAGCAUCAAAAGUAUUCUUUUAAUGUGAAUAACAUUUUUAAACAAGUUAA